GCCGGCUUAGCUUAAUUGGUAGAGCAUCUGACUUGUAAUCAGGAGGUUGUCAGUUCAAGUCCGACAGCCGGCA
rnacentral:tRNA from 1 species